AACGAACGCUGGCGGCACGCCUAACACAUGCAAGUCGAACGAAGUAGCAAUACUUAGUGGCAGACGGGUGAGUAACAUGUGGGUAUCUACCCUUUGGCCUGGAAUAACACGAGGAAACUUGUGCUAAUACCGGAUAAGUCUUUACGGAGAAAGCUUUAUGCACCAUUGGAUGAGCCCGCACUUGAUUAGUUUGUUGGUAGGGUAAUGGCCUACCAAGACUAUGAUCAAUAGCUGAUUUGAGAGGAUGAUCAGCCACAUUGGGACUGAGACACGGCCCAAACUCCUACGGGAGGCAGCAGUGGGGAAUCUUGCACAAUGGAGGAAACUCUGAUGCAGCGAUGCCGCGUGAGUGAAGAAGGCCUUUGGGUUGUAAAGCUCUUUCGUCGGGGAAGAAAAUGACUGUACCCGAAUAAGAAGGUCCGGCUAACUUCGUGCCAGCAGCCGCGGUAAUACGAAGGGACCUAGCGUAGUUCGGAAUUACUGGGCUUAAAGAGUUCGUAGGUGGUCGAAAAAGUUGGUGGUGAAAUCCCAGAGCUUAACUCUGGAACUGCCAUCAAAACUUUUCAGCUAGAGUAUGAUAGAGGAAAGCAGAAUUUCUAGUGUAGAGGUGAAAUUCGUA
rnacentral:rRNA from 1 species